GCUCCCGUAGCUCAGCUGGAUAGAGCAACGGCCUUCUAAGCCGUGGGUCGCAGGUUCGAGUCCUGCCGGGGGCG
rnacentral:tRNA from 1 species